CGUGAAUUAAAUUUCAUUCAUUGUAGAAGUUCAUCCAUUUUAGAACAAAUAUUUAUGAGAAAUUUAGGGUUUCAAUCUCUUUUUUGGAGUGACAAUGUUGGGGAAUUUUCUUGUAGUUCUUCCACUAUUUCUUCAAGUUUGAAAAGGAUUGUGGAGGUGUAGCCCCGUUGUGGUCAGCUAUCCAUACAUGCACUGAUGCGGGCUAGAGCGGAGGCACAAAGGUGUUCGUCACUCCAGAGGUUGGCCAUCAAUACAAGCGCUACGGUUUUGCUGCAAGCUCUGCAGCAAGCAUGGCUGCAAGCUCCGUCAUAGGUGCUGUGGUGGGCUUCUCAGCUAGCCCAGUGGCAGAAUACAAUUUACUACAGCAAGCUUGACUACAAUAGCCUAGACUACACCAAGCUUGGUUGUAGCAGGUUGGAUAGAUAGGAUUUGUAUUUUGAAAUGUCAUGGAUUUGGAGUAAGUUUGCUUAUUAGAUUUUCUACUCCAUGAUGUAUUAAAAAAUGAAGGUUGUGGAAUUUCUUGUUGUUUUGAAUAGACCAACAAGGCUUGAAUGGUAGUAGAAUAGUUAGCUUGUUUUGGAAUUAAAGAAAUUGGAUACAUGCUGAGUUGAAAUAGGCAUUGGAAAUGUUUCUCUUUGAAAAGAGAUUUUGUGAAUAUAUCUAUUGUCAUA